rnacentral:tRNA from 1 species
GGAAAGGUGGCUGAGUGGUCGAAAGCGCAUCCCUGCUAAGGAUGUGUACCCAAUCGGGUACCGAGGGUUCGAAUCCCUUCCUUUCCGCCA